GGAUGUGAGGGAGAUCUGGCUGCGACAUCUGUCACCCCAUUGAUCGCCAGGGUUGAUUCGGCUGAUCUGGCUGGCUAGGCGGGUGUCCCCUUCCUCCCUCACCGCUCCAUGUGCGUCCCUCCCGAAGCUGCGCCUUCCCGGAAUAGAGACGGACCGGUCUUCGGUGGAGGGUAUACAAGUAGCUGCGCUCCCCUGCUAGAACCUCCAAACAAGCUCUCAAGGACACGGAGAAAUUGAGAUGCGAGGGGAAGAUAGAGAGAUGGGGAGAAAAAUAGACACUUGCAGACCUUCUUCACUGAUUGUGAAGUGACCCCCU
rnacentral:snRNA from 1 species